rnacentral:lncRNA from 1 species
CGCGAAUGGGCUAGCUGCGGAGGUAGGCAGCGCGCACGAACGGGCUUGCAAGCAUCGGCAGGCAGCGGUCACGAACGGGCCUGCAAGCAUCGGCAGGCAGCGAACAAAAUGGCCUGCAACAUAGUGUCACGGGCUUGGUUUUUCUACCAAUGAACUGUGUUGCACUAGCUACUUUCUCCCCUCAGACAAGUAAGCUAGUGAGCCUUACUCUUUGAAUGCUAGGCAAAAUGCUAGCUAGGAUGACAAGAAGAACAAAAGAGAGUUUAAGCUUAGAGAGCUUUUAAAGAGAGAAAUUGCUUGAUU